rnacentral:tRNA from 1 species
GGGCCUGUAGCUCAGUGGUAGAGCGUCGGCUUUGCAAGCCGAAGGUCGCGGGUUCGAGUCCCGCCGGGUCCA